rnacentral:miRNA from 10 species
UAUAUGUUUAUAUACCGACUCU